UAUGUAGGGUGCGAGCGUUAAUCGGAAUUACUGGGCGUAAAGCGUGCGCAGGCGGUUUUGCAAGCCGGAUGUGAAAUCCCCGGGCUCAACCUGGGAAUGGCAUUCGGGACUGCAAGGCUGGAGUGCGGCAGAGGAGACUGGAAUUCCUGGUGUAGCAGUGAAAUGCGUAGAUAUCAGGAGGAAUACCGAUGGCGAAGGCAGGUCUCUGGGCUGACACUGACGCUCAUGCACGAAAGCGUGGGGAGCAAACAGG
rnacentral:rRNA from 1 species